rnacentral:rRNA from 1 species
CCUACGGGUGGCAGCAGUGGGGAAUAUUGGGCAAUGGGCGCAAGCCUGACCCAGCAACGCCGCGUGAAGGAAGACGGCCCUCGGGUUGUAAACUUCUUUUAACAGGGACGAAGAAAGUGACGGUACCUGUUGAAUAAGCCACGGCUAACUACGUGCCAGCAGCCGCGGCAAUCCGGAGGUGGCAAUCGUUAUCCGGCUUUACUGGGUGUAAAGGGCGUGUAGGCGGGAGAGCAAGUCAGACGUGAAAUUCCAGGGCUCAACCCUGGAACUGCGUUUGAAACUGUUCUUCUUGAGUGAUGGAGAGGCAGGCGGAAUGCCGUGUGUAGCGGUGAAAUGCGUAGAUAUACGGAGGAACACCAGUGGCGAAGGCAGCCUGCUGGACAGUAACUGACGCUGAGGCGCGAAAGCGUGGGGAGCAAACAGGAAUAGAUACCCGAGUAGUC